GUCAGGGGAGCUGAAAAUUCAGCUGAGAGGCUCUUUACUGAGCGACCCUAAAACCUGAUCUGGUUAAUACCAGCGUAGGAAGAUCAGAA
rnacentral:ncRNA from 1 species